rnacentral:lncRNA from 1 species
GACAUGGAAGAUAAUCUGGGGGAAGCUCCAAUGGAAAACCAUCAAUUUGCAUGGGCUGAUGCAAAUGCUGAUGGGUUAGAUCCACAAGGCUAUGGUCCUAUGCAACAGUUGGGCAAAGCCGAGCAAGAAGGCGAGGAAGAAGAAGAGGACCCGAAAGAAAUGGAAGGAAAUUUUGGUGUCAGCACUUCCGCAUCAUAUUCAUCCUAUACCUCAAGCGAUCCCAAACCAGAGUCAGAGAGUGAGAACUCAGUGAAUCAGCCUCCACCUGUCGCUCCUCCAAGACAAACCCUGAUGAUGGUAGAUCAGGAUAUUCUGCAGGCUGCGAUGGCACGACUAGGGAUAAAUGCUGCAGAGCUGGGCAUUUAUCCAUAUGAUGGCUGAGAAAAGACCCUGGCCAGGGAAUGUUGCGGUGUAUUUAUGUAAGAUAAAUUCGACUUGGUGGAAGUAGACCCUCACGAUCCGACUACGACGAGUGAACCCGAAGCACCAAUGCAAUCGCUGAACCAACUUCCUAUGGUUACCAACCUUGCCAGCGCAAGAUCAGCCUGAUCACGAAGAUCGAUUUCUGUCCGCAAUCGAAGAACGAACAAGAAAAAGAGGCGAGCAAUCUAAAUAUCACUCGAAGGUGGAGUUCUGAAUCACACAAGGAUAGCACGUAUUUGCGCGUGUUCGAGAGUAGCUAAAGCUAGAUGUAAAACAAAACUCAAGUCGUAAACAAAAGGGACUCCGACUAAAUAAAGGGGGCGCAGCCCCUGGAGUCCAGAGGAGGCGCCACGGCAGGAGGGGGGCGCGCGCGACCAGGGGGAGCGCCGCGGCUCCCAACCCUAGGCGCCCCACCUGGGCUGCCCUGUUGGGCCAUCUUCUUAUUCCGCUGGGCCUUCAUUCCUUAACAACAUGAUGAAGUUUAAUUCUCUCGCACGGGCCUGAGUGAUUGGCCCAAUUGGAUGAUCAACUGUAGGCGUCUGAGGUGGAGGAGCAACUGGAGGCGCCUGAGAUGCUGCUGGUGUAGAUGUACUCAUGGUGUCCUCAUCAUCCUCCCCUUCUUGAACUGAAGUCGUCCUCGACGGCAACUCCUCAUCUUCGCCCGCAUAAGGUUUCAAAUCUACAACAUUAAAACUCGUGGAAACACCAAACUCCGCAGGCAGGUCAAGGAUAUAAGCAUUAUCAUUAAUCUUGGUUAACACUUUAAAAGGACCAGCAGCACGUGGCAUCAAUUUAGAACAACGUAAAAUAGGAAAACGAUCCUUUCUCAAAUGCAACCAAACCAGAUCACCCGGUUGAAAAGUAACAUAUUUUCUCCCUUUACUACCCGCAACCUGAUAUUUAGCAUUAGCAGUAGCAAUAUUUUGUUGAGUUUGCUCAUGCAAGCUAAUCAUUUGAUCAACAUGUGCAGCGGCAUCUAUGUGUGGGGCGUCCUCGGCAUCAAGCGCAAACAAAUCAAUAGGCGCCCGAGGAAUAUAACCAUAAACAACCUGAAAGGGACACAUCUUUGUAGAAGAAUGCGUUGCAUGAUUAUAAGCAAACUCAACAUGAGGCAAGCAAUCUUCCCAAUGUUUCAAGUGUUUAUCUAAAACAGCCCUAAGCAUGGUGGACAAGGUGCGAUUAACCACCUCAGUUUGUCCAUCAGUCUGAGGGUGACAAGUGGUACUAAACAGCAAAUUAGUUCCCAUUUUAUUCCACAGUGACCUCCAAAAAUGACUGAGAAACUUAGCAUCACGAUCAGAGACUAUUGUAUUUGGAAUACCAUGCAAACGAAUAAUCUCGCGAAAGAACAAUUCAGCAACAUUGCUAGCAUCAUCAGUCUUAUGACAAGGUAUAAAAUGAGCCAUUUUGGAGAAACGAUCAACAACCACAAAAAUACUGUCCCUCCCCUUCUUAGUUCUAGGCAAUCCCAAAACAAAGUCCAUAGAAAUAUCAAGCCAAGGGGAAGUAGGAACAGGCAAAGGCAUGUACAAACCAUGGUUGUUCAAUCGUGACUUAGCUUUCUGGCAAGUAGUGCAGCGUGCAACAAGGCGGUCAACAUCAACGCGCAUCCGGGGCCAAAAGAAGUAGGCAGCCAGCACUUCAUGUGUCUUGUAGACGCCAAAGUGUCCCAUGAGACCGCCUCCAUGCGCUUCCUGUAACAACAAACAACGAACCGAGCUAGCUGGAACACACAGCUUGUUAGCACGAAACAAGAACCCGUCCUGUAUGUAAAAUUUGCCCCAUGGUUUGCCAUGAAUACAAUGGGCGAAAGCAUCUUUAAAAGCAGCGUUGUCCACGUAUUGAUCCUUCACAGUUUGCAAGCCAAAGAUUUUAAAAUCUAACUGUGACAGCAUGGUAUAGCGACGAGACAAAGCAUCAGCAAUGACAUUUUCCUUCCCGCUCUUGUGUUUAAUAAUGUAAGGGAAAGACUCAAUGAAUUCUACCCACUUAGCAUGACGACGGUUCAGGUUUGUUUGGGUACGAAUAUGUUUUAAAGCCUCAUGAUCAGAAUGAAUUAUAAACUCGCGAUUCCAAAGGUAGUGCUGCAAAGUAUGCAAAGUGCGCACUAAAGCAUAAAGCUCCUUAUCAUAAGUAGAAUAAUUCAAGCUAGCACCACUUAAUUUCUCGCUAAAGUAAGCAACCGGUUUUUCUUCUUGUAACAAAACAGCAGCUAGCCCAAUACCGCUAGCAUCGCAUUCAAGCUCAAACACUUUAGUAAAAUCAGGCAACUGCAAGAGAGGAGCAUUGGUUAACUUAUCUUUCAAGGUGCUGAAUGCAACCUCUUGCGAAUCACUCCAAGCAAAGGGUGUUGGGAUACGAGGUAGGCUACACUAGCGCAAAUCAAAAUUUCUACCGCGUAUAACCAGGAAGAACUGCCGUAUAAGGAUCACGGGAUUACCACUCGACGCACUACUGGUGCGGAAGAUGUAGAUAUGCGUCGAUGCAGUGAAGACGAUCACGUAGUCGUACGUAGUCGAUCAACGUAGUCGUACGUAGUCGAUCACGUCACGUCCAGCAGCUCCCACGUGCAGCAAGAUCGCCUCCGGUGCUGCGGCUCGUCGUCGGCUCGUCGUGGCUCGUCGGCGGCUCAUCGAUGGCUUGUCCAAGUGCUGCAGGCGCAACACCUCCAAGGUAUCCACACGUGCAGGGAGGAAGCGUCGCAAGCCGGACUGCUAGAUCCGCGAGUUGCAACAGGCGAGGGCGUGGGAGGCGCGGCAGGUGUGUUUCACAAAAAGGUGUAACCCUAGGGCGCCCCCACCCCUCUAUUUAUAGAGGUUCCUGACGGGCCUCUGGAUCCGAGGCCCAUUAGUACUUCUAAACCUAAUCCAACUCGGAUCUGAUCCGAAUUGGGCUUCCAGCCCCUUAAGUGUGUGACCCUAUGGGUUCGGAUACGCAUAGACAUGGCCCGAGUACUCCUACUCGGCCCAAUAGUCGGUAGCGGCCUCUAGCAAGACGUGCCAACUCCUAUACGCACACGAAGAUCAUAUCAGACGAACCAUCACAACAUAAUAUACAUGCUAUUCCCUUUGCCUCACGAUAUUUGGUCUAGCUUCAAGCCGACCGCUCUUUCUCGAUCCUGUGAUUCGGAAUCCCUUUGUAGGUUAACUCUUAACCGUACGUAGCAUGGCCAUGCAUUUUUUGAUCCGAUCACUCGAGGGGCCUAGAGAUAUCACUCUCAAUCAGAGAGGGGCAAAUCCCAUCUUGACUGACCAUGUCUCAUAGCAUGCUUCUUGACAAACCCGAAAGCUACCUUUAUAACUACCCUGUUACGGCGUAGCGUUUGAUAGCCCCUAAGUAGGUCGAUCCACAUCUAGAAUACAUGCACACUCUCAGGUCUAAGGACAAAGCGUAUAUGUUGUUCAAAGAGAGAACUACUUCUCGUGGUGGGUUAGUCCUAGCACAUGUCUCCACAUGUGUCCACAUUAUUAGUUCAACAUCUCCAUGUCCAUGACUUGUGAAACAUAGUCAUCAACUAAUACAUGUGCUAGUCUAAUAUUCAUGUGUGUCCUCACAUGAACUCCGACUAGGGACAACUUUAGAAUAACCAUACAAGUAAAGAGUUUCACAUACAAUUCACAUAAUUGCAAAUCAAUUCAAGUAGCCUUCAAUGGAUAUUCAAUGAACACAACAUACAAAUCAUGGAUACAAAUGGAAUAUCAUCAUCUCUAUGAUUGCCUCUAGGGCAUACCUCCAACAAAGGGAACAUCCUUCUUUGUAAGCUCAUGUAGAGGCUCUGCAAUGGAGCUAAAAUCAUGAACAAACCGGCGGUAGAAACCUGCAAGGCCAAGAAAGCUUCGAAUUUGUGUGAUCGUCGUCGGUGUAGGCCACGCCCGAAUGGCAUCGAUCUUGCUGCUAUCCACCUCAAUGCCCUGUGGAGUAACAACAUAGCUAAGAAACGAGACAUGUUGUGUGCAAAACAUGCAUUUUUUGAGGUUAGCAAAUAAAUGGGCUGCACGCAACGCAUCAAAAACAGCACGCAAAUGAUCUAAAUGCUCUUCCAUAGACUUGUUGUAAAUGAGGAUAUCAUCAAAAUAGACAACUACAAACAAUCCUAUGAAGGGCCUCAGAACUUCAUUCAUCAAACGCAUAAAUGUGCUGGGAGCAUUUGUCAAACCAAACGGCAUAACCAACCAUUCAUAUAACCCAAAUUUCGUUUUAAAAGCCGUUUUCCAUUCAUCACCUAAUUUCAUGCGAAUCUGAUGGUAGCCACUACGCAAAUCAAUCUUAGUGAAAAUAAGGGCACCACUAAGCUCAUCUAGCAUAUCAUCAAGGCGUGGUAUAGGGUAUCGGUAGCGAAUGGUAAUGUUAUUAAUAGCACGACAGUCUACACACAUACGCCAUGAGCCAUCUUUCUUUGGAACAAGUAACACGGGAACGGAGCAAGGGCUAAGAGACUCACGAAUAUAACCCUUGUCAAGCAACACCUGUACCUGGCGCUGGAUUUCCUUCAUCUCAUCCGGAUUUGUAUGGUACGGUGCGCGGUUCGGAAGCUGUGCGUCAGGAAUGAGGUCGAUCUGGUGCUCAAUGCCACGAAGUGGUGGGAGUCCCAGUGGCAAAUCUUUUGGAAAGACAUCAGCGUACUCCUCCAAAAUGUUAGCAACCGUAGGGGGAAUAUCCAAAGAUGGUGCAUCAUCAAGUGAAACAAGCACACUAGAGCAUAUAAGGGCAUAGCAUGGCAAAGGAGCAUCGCGUAACUCAUCAAAAUCAGCACGUGUAGCAAGCAAAACAGGAGCAUUCAACUUGAUUUCAGAAUUAACAGAGGUCGAUGGUUCAAGUUGUUUAGCAGUUUUAGCAGCUCUAGCAAGAUCAUCUUUAAGAAUUUGUUCAGGUGUCAUUGGAUGUAUAAUUAUUUUCUGACCCUUAAACAUGAAAGAAUAGUGAUUUGAAUGACCAUGAUGCAAGCUAUCAGUAUCAUAUUGCCAAGGUCGCCCAAGUAACAGAGAACAUGCUUCCAUGGGAAUAACAUCACAAUCGACAAAAUCAGAAUAAGCACCCAUGGAGAAAGGAACACAGACCGAUCGAGUAAUAAUAAUUUUCCCACCAUCAUUAAGCCAUUGAAUGUGAUAUGGAUUUGGAUGCUUACGAGUGGGUAAAGAUAACUUUUCAACCAGCGCGGUACUUGCCAAAUUGUUGUAGCUGCCGCUGUCGAUGAUGAUGCGAAUCGACCGCUCCUGCACAACGCCCUUGGUAUGGAAAAGAGUGUGUCGCUGAUUCUUCUCGGACGGAGCGACCUGUGUACUAAGAACACGCUGCACAACAAGACUUUCAUACCUAUCGGCGUCGCCCGAGUUGACAUGUACCUCCAUAGCUGCAUGGUCAGUGGCAAGCAUCGCAUGUUGAGUAUCUUCAGAAUCACUAGCGGAAGAGUACUCACCAUCGUCACGAAGAAGCAAAGUGCGCUUGUUCGGAUAGCCCCGAAACACGUGGCCAAAUCCUUUGCAACGAUGACACUGAAUAUCCCGUGUACGGCCUGUGGGAGGGGCGGCGCCUGUAGAAGGGGCAGCGCUUGCAAGUUUGGUCGUUCUCUCGCGCGGUGUAGUGGUGGGCGUGGGCGGCGCAGGGAGAGCGGGUGCGGAGUUGGAUGUCGAGCUUCUUCCUGCAAAAGAGUUAGAAUAUGUCUUCGAGCGGCGUCCCUGCACUUCACGUUCAGCUUUGCAAGCAUAUUCAAAUAAUGUUGUCAUAUCUGUGUAGUCCUUAUAAUCAAGUAUAUCCUGAAUUUUGCGGUUCAAACCACCACGAAAACAUGCCAUAGCAGCAUCGUUUUCCUCCAAUAACCCACAACGAAUCAUGCCUAUUUGUAAUUCCUGGAAAUAUUCCUCAACAGAUUUGGAACCUUGCUGAAAACGCUGCAUUUUAUUAAGCAAAUCUCGGGCAUAAUAAGAAGGCACAAAUCUGUGGCGCAUAGCAGCUUUUAAUUGAUCCCAAGUGGUUGGAAUGGUAUUGGGAUGUUUGUGUUUAUAUUCACACCACCAAAUUAAAGCAAAAUCAGUAAAUUCACUAAUAGCAGCUUUAACUUGAGAAUUAGCAAGAAUAUCAUGGCAUGAAAAUUUCUGUUCAACUUCUAAUUCCCAAUCAAGAUAUGCAGCAGGAUCAUAUUUGCCAUUAAAAGGUGGAAUUUUAAAUUUAAUCUUGGAAAAGGAAUCAUUAUCGGGAUGGCGUGGCACGCGGCGGGCACGGCCUCGGCGGUCGCCAUCGUCCUGUUCCGAGUCACCACCAUAACCCUGCUGCAACUCUGUGACUGUUGUGUGCAAUGCAUCAAGGCGUGCCACAACUAUGUCGAGUGUGGCCUUAGCGGCCGUCUGUGCAAGGUCUAGCUAAUCGCACCGCUCGGUCGUCGAGCAGAUCGUCGAGUCCAGCCAUUCAUGAAUCGUCUGAAUGUCCGUGACAAGCCCUUCAACUUGUGCCCGUAUGCCCUGCAGCUGGUUAGCCCCCGCGUCGACAUCAUCUGCCAUGGUUAGCGCAAAGACAAGAACAAAACCGACGACAAAACAGGGGUGCAACGGCUCACAAGGUGCUCACACUAGUGUUGUUAUCAAAUUCUUAUCCAUUCUUACCAUGCACACAGGGGUGAACUGCAACCAACCGGUGGAACUCGUGAAAGAUUGGAGGAGGGAUUGCUUAGAGAAACAAAAUCUGCUCGUCGUAGAACUAUGUGGAGUUUUGGGAAGGCUGCACUCAAAUGAAGGAUUAGCACAAUCAAACAAUAAUGCAAAGUUGAAAUAUAGUGCCAAACACGUAACAAGAGUUGCUGGUAACAAGGGAAACUGAAAGAACAGAGGCAAAGAAACGGCCAAGGUGGAGAGGGCGCACCUCUUUUGUUUUUUUUCAGGGUGCCCCAAAACUGAUAAUAUGAACACAGAGGAUCUCAAACAGCAAAUUGCGGCACACACACACACUCUCUCUCUCUCUAGAGUAAGGCGAACCUUAGAAAAAUGUACCAAGAAAGAGAGAUACGGAUAUGAAAAGCUAGCACGGGGUGCGUGGAGAAGGGCGCGGUAUGCGUGGGGGGGUGCGGAGUUGCCGAGGAGGGUCGUGACCCAGGGGGGUGCACGGCGCGCGCAAGGGGAGUUUCCACCGAAACAAAACCGGAUCACCUUCCUUCUCCCAGUUGGAUAUUUUUUUGCUUCUUUCCUUUUUUUGCACUUUCCUUUUUUUUAUUGCUUUCUAUCUUUUUUUUUGGACACGGGAGGGGGCGAUCGGAGGGGUGGGAUGGCGCGGCGCGGUAGGAUUGGCGAGCAACGGAACAGCUGCGGCGAAAACUAGGGUUAGAAGAAAUAUGAGAAACAAGAGAUUAAACACAAGUAACCAGCAACAAUUGAAUGAGUAGGCACACAAAUUCAACAAAGACACUUAUUGAAAGAAUGUGCGACGCUAAACGGUUGCUGGGACAAGGAUCUAACCUGAAAAAAAUUUGUUUUGGUUUUUGUGGACUGUAGGAAGGGAAAAACACUUGGUAAAACUCACCGAUCAACCUGGAAAGCUGAUACCACUUGAUAGAGUCGGAGUGCCCGAUCUUUCGGUGAGUGGAGAUAAAUUCGACUUGGUGGAAGUAGACCCUCACGAUCCGACUACGACGAGCAAACCCGAAGCGCCAAUGCAAUCGCUGAACCAACUCCCUGUGGUUACUAACCUUGCCAGCAAGAUCAGCCUGAUCACGAAGAUCGAUUCCUGUCCGCAAUCGAAGAACGAACAAGAAAAAGAGGCGAGCAAUCUAAAUAUCACUCGAAGGUGGAGUUCUGAAUCACACAAGGACAACGCGUAUUUGCGCGUGUUCGAGAGUAGCUAAAGCUAGAUGUAAAACAAAACUCAAGUCGUAAACAAAAGGGACUCCGACUAAAUAAAGGGGGUGCGGCCCCUGGAGUCCGGAGGAGGCGCCACGGCAGGACGGGGGCGCGCGCCACCAGGGGGAGGGCCACGGCUCCCAACCCUAGGCGCCCCACCUGGGCUGCCCUGUUGGGCCAUCUUCUUAUUCCGCUGGGCCUUCGUUCCUUAACAGCAUGAUGAAGUUUAAUUCUCUCGCACGGGCCUGAGUGAUUGGCCCAACUGGAUGAUCAACUGUAGGCGCCUGAGGUGGAGGAGCAACUGGAGGCGCCUGAGGUGCUGCUGGUGUAGAUGUACU